rnacentral:rRNA from 1 species
AUGUUCGUGGAGGCCAUGUGGAGGGAUGGCUUGUGCAGCUGGGAGCGAAUUGAUGCGCGGGAAAAAUUGGUGAUUGAAGGGUGGGGUGGCUUCCAUAGUUUUCUUGUAGUUAUUUGUAGUGUUGUCACUGAGUCGGCCAUGAUUCCAUAUUUUAAGUAUAGUUGGACAGUUGCAACUAUUUUUCUUCAUCACAUCGGAUACUCGGAAAUGUUUUUGCUUGAAGAGAUGAAGUAUGCCUUUUGUUCAGUCCUAUGGAGUUCACAAAUUGAUCCACAGCUACGCGAUUUAGAAACUCAAAGGAGCAUCAAGGUCGAAGAAUUUCUUGGAGAUGGCUAUAUUCCCUAG